GCCUACCUCCACCCUAAUAAUUCCAGGAGAGUUGUCUUUCUUAAGAAACAUCUCCCAGGAGUGGACCUGCCUUAAUAUCCCUGGCUAAAAGAAUGACCAGGCAAAAUGAGUGACCCUUUUGACAUAAAAGUCAAGAAUUAUCCUGAGGAGACAAGUGCUGUUCAGAGCAUUUUAAGCCCUUCGUCUUUCACCACAGACACCAGCAGACCUGACGGGACGCUGCAGAGGCAGCAGCUGCAGUGAGCAGGCAUGAUGAAAGCACCAGGCCGUGAAGCCCCAUUAGGAAAAGGAGGAGAAAGAAGUCAAGAGGCUCGUGGGAGAACUAAAAUCAAUGCGUGGUGGCAAGACAUGCCGGGCAGCCUGCUCUGUAGCCAUCAGCAUUGCCAACUUAAAUUGUCGAUUUGAGCACAGCCGCAAUCAUCAUCACAGGGAGAGUGUCUUAAUCUAGCAUCUUCAUUUCCUAUUCUGCGUGUCUAUUGUAUGAAGUGUGCUGCGCUAGAAGGUUUCUUCCUGGUGGCUGGGUUGCAAUUACAAAUCAGAGCCACUUGUUCACUGCUACUCCCAGGACCAUCAUGGAACGCCCAUGGGCAGCACUCUGGUUGCCAUCUGACAAGUUGUGCAGACUGGAAUUGCAGAGGAGCUAAUGCCCAUGGGAUUGCUCUUAAUCAAGGGAGGAUGGGAGCCUACAGAUGAAUUCCCUAAUCUCCAUCCUUUGGUAGAUAUUUCUAGAAAGCAUUUUUUGUGCUUCUCAGAAAUCCCAGCCAAAUGGAGUCCCGUUGCCAACAGCAGCAACCUUGAUAACGCAUCUUUAUAUAGGCUUUUUCUUCCUUCCCAUCCACUUUCUCUGCCCCCUUGCUCCUACUUCUGGGUUUAUUUCCCAAAUAAACUACCUUCACCUUCAGUCCUUAUCUUGGGCUCUGCUUCCUGGGCAAAACAAAUGCAGACAGCACCAACUGAGCAAGUCUGUUUUUUCUGAAGCACUCAGACAUUAAUGAAUCCUUUUCAAUGCCUCCUUUCUCAAAUCUAAGACCCAAGCUGCUAAAGCUGGUCAUUAUCUGGUCACCUCCACCAUGGCCUGGGGAGUGAGAGGAAGCUGGCAAGAGAGGUGGUACAAUAGCCAGCCAACAUCCAGGGGUGUGGGAGCACCUGCAGAUGCCUUCUCCAGUUAUCAAGGGUGGGGAGCAAGUGUAGAAAUGGGCUGUUAAGAUGAUGAGUCAGAAUUCAACCACGAUGGUAGUCUCUAGCUGUGGCUGUGGUUCCUUGAUACUGUUUCUGCUACUGAGGUUCCAAAGUUUUCUCCACCCUUCCAUCUAUUCUAGAAGUCUCUGUAUCACAGACUCUGUGUGUGUGUGUGUGUGUGUGUGUGUGUGUGUGUGUGUGUGUGUGCGUGCGCGCUCAUGCUCAGUCAUGUCCAGCUCUGUGUGACCCCGUGAACUGUAGCCCUCCAGGCUCCUCUGUCCAUGGAAUUUUCCAGGCAGGAAUACUGG
ensembl:lncRNA